UAUGAUAUAUAGAAAGUUCGUGACUUGAAACAUUAUAUAACAUAAUCAAAUUUAGUUUUCAACCGCCAUACAAGUUUUUUGUUUUGUUUUUCUGAUCUUGACUUUCUUUGCUCCCCUCCCCCCACUCUCUCGCUCUCUCCUCAUCCCCUGUUAUGAUGUUUGAGUAAACACAUAGGUUUGUGCAAACGAGCAGAAAUCUAAUAAAAUAUCUUGUCGAUUGACAGACAGCAAAGACCUUGAUGUGAUCACGUGAUUGUUGAAUGAACGCUGAUGCAAUGGUGUAAUUUAGGAAGAGUCAUAAAAUCACAGCCGAACAGUGGAUUCGUAGUUAAAAUGUGAUCCGUUCGGUAACAUCAACUGAACAAAUAAAGCAACAAACAUUUAAUGCAAUUAUAAGAAUCGUAGUCUGAUUAUAUCAUAACAUGCUUUUGUUGUUGAGCCCUAGGUCAGCUAAGAUCGAAUAUACUGAUGAUCAAAAGCGUUCUAGCCAUCGCCAUGUCACACGAUCCAACAUGUCCUUCCUUCUUUGUAAAGAUAGCACAUUGAGAGUUGAUUAAAAUUUGGCUGCUGUUUCUAGCAGAAUCAUUAGCGCAUCGGACAAAAUAGUUUACCGUGUUUAGUUUCUUUACAUUCUGAGUUCCUAUCCUGCCAAGUUCAAUAUUGCCUUCUGGGAUCGAUAACAGGAAAUACCAGACGAAUAUACCAGCCGACGCCGCGAAGAAACACAGCCAGUCAUAUGGUUCUCCCGUUGAGUAACACACAAGUUAUGCAGGCGUUCUUACACAAGGCCCGAAAUUUUUGGCGAGCGGGGUCAGUCGAUUAGAUCGACCCCAGUACGCAACUGGUACUUAAUUUAUUGACCCCGAACGGAUGAAAAGCAAAGUCGACUUCAGCGGAAUUUGAAAUCAAAACGUAAAGGAAUAUCGCUAAGCGUUUCGCCCGGCGUGAUAACGUUUCUGCCAGCUCGCCACCUUUUUCACUUAAUUUAAUCAACUAUAUCAAACUCUGGACUCUACAAUACUCCUCUAUGCUACCUGUCUGAGAUUACUACACUUCCAGUACAUUUCGCUCUUGAUAGCUAACUUAUUACUUCGUUUACUCUCCAACCACCCCGAGCCUUCUUAUAUCCUAUCAUUUACUACCUACAUAUUUUCAUGCUUCGUUUUGCUAUUGCCUAACAGCUCUGAACGUACGUAUUUGUGAGUGUGCUUGCUUUUUGUGUGAAUAAAUUUGUGCGUCUAUAACUAUACAUGAAACUUUCUUCACCUGACUCAUUUCAGCUUUUUUGUCGCAUGAUUCGCUAUUUCUGCCAUUACUUUUAAUUAACUGCCAGUAUACGUUUCCAUGCAUGUAUGUUUCUAUCAUACAUACAUGCAUACAUACAUACAUACAUGUGUGUAUGUAUGUAUGUGUGUGUGUGUGUGUGUGUGUGUGUGUGUGUGUGUGUACUUCAUAUUAUACCUUUACUUUUAUAUCUUACGGUGGAAUUCAUUUGUAAAGAUUUAUGUCUAUGUAUGUAUGUACCUACAUCAAUAUUUUAUUUCAAUUUUUUUAGCAUAUGCAUGUGCAACGGGUAUAUAGAUACAUAUUUCGUAUCUAGACCGUGUGUAUAUCUAAGAAUAUGUAUGUAUGUACGUACGUACGUACGUACCUAUCUAUCUCUCUCUCUCUCUCUCUCUAUAUAUAUAUAUAUAUAUAUAUAUAUAUAUGUUGUAAUUUGUUACAAUAUUUUACGAGACAUCUUAUGAUGUGGUUUAUUUUUCCGGGAUACCCUAUUGAAAUGUGCAUAGGUUUGGCUUAUUGUGGUUGUUUCUGUUAUUAUAAUUGUUGCUGCAAUAAAGUAUCUUCAAUGCA